UAGGGAAUCUUCCGCAAUGGACGCAAGUCUGACGGAGCAACGCCGCGUGAGUGAAGAAGGAUUUCGGUUCGUAAAACUCUGUUGUUAGAGAAGAACAGCGCAUAGAGUAACUGUUAUGCGUGUGACGGUAUCUAACCAGAAAGCCACGGCUAACUACGUGCCAGCAGCCGCGGUAAUACGUAGGUGGCAAGCGUUGUCCGGAUUUAUUGGGCGUAAAGCGAGCGCAGGCGGUCAAUUAAGUCUGAUGUGAAAGCCCCCGGCUCAACCGGGGAGGGUCAUUGGAAACUGGUUGACUCGAGUGAAGAAGAGGAGAGUGGAAUUCCAUGUGUAGCGGUGAAAUGCGUAGAUAUAUGGAGGAACACCAGUGGCGAAGGCGACUCUCUGGUCUGUAACUGAAGCUGAGGCUCGAAAGCGUGGGUAGCAAACAGG
rnacentral:rRNA from 1 species